UACAGGGGGGGGCAAGUGUUGUUCGGAAUUACUGGGCGUAAAGGGGUUGUAGGUGGCCAACUAAGUCCGACGUGAAAUCCCAAAGCUUAACUUUGGAACUGCGUCGGAUACUGGAUGGCUUGAAUUCGGGAGAGGGAUGCAGAAUUCCAGGUGUAGCGGUGAAAUGCGUAGAUAUCUGGAGGAAUACCGGUGGCGAAGGCGGCAUCCUGGACCGACAUUGACGCUGAAAACCGAAAGCUAGGGGAGCAAACGGG
rnacentral:rRNA from 1 species